GGAGCAUGUGGUUUAAUUAGUUGAUAAGAGAGGAACUUUACUUGGGGUGGAAUGAAGUGUGAGGGUGAAUGAAAGAAAAUUUGGUGCCAAUAGGAAGGUUGAAAGGUGGUGCAUGGCGGUUGUCAGCUCGUGUCGUGAGGUGUUGGGUUAAGUCCCGCAACGAGCGCAACCCCUAUCUUUAGUUGCCAUCAGGUUAAGGUGGGAACUCUUAAGAGACUGCCCUGGUAAAAAGGGGGGAAGGGGGGGAGGAUGUCAAGUCAUCAUGGCCCCUAUGUCCAGGGGUACACAC
rnacentral:rRNA from 1 species